rnacentral:rRNA from 1 species
UACGGAGGGGGCGAGCGUUGUUCGGAAUCAUUGGGCGUAAAGGGCGCGUAGGCGGCCGUCCAAGUCGGGUGUGAAAUCCCUCGGCUCAACUCCAGAACUGCCUUUGAUACUGACGAUCUCGAGUCCGGGAGAGGUGAGUGGAACUGCGAGUGUAGAGGUGAAAUUCGUAGAUAUUCGCAAGAACACCAGUGGCGAAGGCGGCUCACUGGCCCGGUACUGACGCUGAGGUGCGAAAGCGUGGGGAGCAAACAGG